rnacentral:rRNA from 1 species
UACCAGACUCCUACGGGAGGCAGCAGUGGGGAAUAUUGCACAAUGGGGGAAACCCUGAUGCAGCGACGCCGCGUGAGUGAAGAAGUAUUUCGGUACGUAAAGCUCUAUCAGCAGGGAAGAAAAUGACGGUACCUGAUUAAGAAGCCCCGGCUAACUACGUGCCAGCAGCCGCGGUAAUACGUAGGGGGCAAGCGUUAUCCGGAUUUACUGGGUGUAAAGGGAGCGCAGGCGGCACGGCAAGCCUGAUGUGAAAGCCCGCGGCCCAACCGCGGGACUGCAUUGGGAACUACCGGGCUGGAGUGCCGGAGAGGUAGGCGGAAUUCCUAGUGUAGCGGUGAAAUGCGUAGAUAUUAGGAGGAACACCGGCGGCGAAGGCGGCCUGCUGGACCGUAACUGACGUUGAGGCUCGAAAGCGUGGGGAGCAAACAGGAUUAGAUACCCCCGUA